GAUGAACGCUGGCGGCGUGCUUAACACAUGCAAGUCGAACGAACCUUCGGGUUAGUGGCGGACGGGUGAGUAACGCGUGAGAAUCUGCCCUCAGGAGGGGGACAACAGCUGGAAACGGCUGCUAAUACCCCAUAUGCCGCGAGGUGAAAUGAAUUUCGCCUGAGGAUGAGCUCGCGUCUGAUUAGCUAGUUGGUGUAGGUAAUGGCUCACCAAGGCAUCGAUCAGUAGCUGGUCUGAGAGGAUGAUCAGCCACACUGGGACUGAGACACGGCCCAGACUCCUACGGGAGGCAGCAGUGGGGAAUUUUCCGCAAUGGGCGAAAGCCUGACGGAGCAACGCCGCGUGAGGGAUGAAGACCUCUGGGCUGUAAACCUCUUUUAUCAAGGAAGAAGAUCUGACGGUACUUAUAGGGUAAGCCACGGCUAAUUCCGUG
rnacentral:rRNA from 1 species